AACGAACGCUGGCGGCAUGCCUAACACAUGCAAGUCGAACGAGAUCUUCGGGUCUAGUGGCGCACGGGUGCGUAACGCGUGGGAAUCUGCCCUUUGGUUCGGAAUAACAGUUGGAAAGGACUGCUAAUACCGGAUGAUGACGAAAGUCCAAAGAUUUAUCGCCAGAGGAUGAGCCCGCGUAGGAUUAGCUAGUUGGUGUGGUAAAGGCGCACCAAGGCGACGAUCCUUAGCUGGUCUGAGAGGAUGAUCAGCCACACUGGGACUGAGACACGGCCCAGACUCCUACGGGAGGCAGCAGUGGGGAAUAUUGGACAAUGGGCGAAAGCCUGAUCCAGCAAGGCCGCGUGAGUGAUGAAGGCCUUAGGGUUGUAAAGCUCUUUUACCCGGGAUGAUAAUGACAGUACCGGGAGAAUAAGCUCCGGCUAACUCCGUGCCAGCCGCCGCAGUAAGAC
rnacentral:rRNA from 1 species